GAUGAACGCUGGCGGCGUGCCUAAUACAUGCAAGUCGAGCGAACGGACGAGGAGCUUGCUUCUCUGACGUUAGCGGCGGACGGGUGUGUAACACGUGGAUAACCUCCCUAUAAGACUGGGAUAACUUCGGGACACCGGAACUAACACCGGAUGAUAUAUUGCACCGCAUGGUUCAAAAGUGAAAGACGGUUUUGCUGUCUCUUAUAGAUGCAUCCGCGCUGCAUUAGCUAGUUGGUGAGGUACCGGCUUACCAAGGCAAGGAUGCAUAGCCGACCUGAGAGCGAGAUCGGCCACACUAGAAGAGAGACACGGCCCAGACGCCUACGAGAGGCAGCAGUAGGGAAUCUUACGCAAUGGGGGAAAGCCUGACGGAGCAACGCCACGUGAGUGAUGAAGGUGUUCGGAUCGUAAAGCUCUGUUAUUGGGAGAGAAAAUAUGUGUAAGUAACUGGGCACAUCUUGACGGUACCGAAUCAAGAAGCCACGGCUAACUACGUG
rnacentral:rRNA from 1 species